rnacentral:rRNA from 1 species
GGACCCGCACAAGCGGUGGAGCAUGUGGUUUAAUUCGAAGCAACGCGAAGAACCUUACCAAAUCUUGACAUCCUUUUGACCGGUACGUAAUGGUACCUUCUCUUCGGAGCAGAAGUGACAGGUGGUGCAUGGUUGUCGUCAGCUCGUGUCGUGAGAUGUUGGGUUAAGUCCCGCAACGAGCGCAACCCUUAUCUUUAGUAGCCAGCAGUUCGGCUGGGCACUCUAGAGAGACUGCCGGGGAUAACCCGGAGGAAGGUGGGGAUGACGUCAAAUCAUCAUGCCCCUUAUGAUUUGGGCUACACACGUGCUACAAUGGCGUAAACAAAGAGAAGCAACCCUGUGAAGGUGAGCCAAUCUCAAAAAUAACGUCUCAGUUCGGAUUGUAGUCUGCAACUCGACUACAUGAAGCUGGAAUCGCUAGUAAUCGCGAAUCAGAAUGUCGCGGUGAAUACGUUCCCGGGUCUU